GCCCCUUUAGCCGGUGCAACGGAUUCCACCAACGCUGUCCUGUCCUAUCCUCCCAUCUCCAUUGCUCCCACGCAGCCACUGCCGCUGCGGUGGUUCCGGAGCGCCGGCCGCCGCCUCCGCCGCGACGACCUCACUUUCUGCUAUCAACCUGUAGCAAACCAGGAGCAGCGUCGGCCUCCUCCUCCGCCUCCGAGCUGUGUCGUUCUCCGGAUUGAGCCGGGAGUAGCCGUGGAAGCUGAGGCCGAGGUGCAUUUGUGGUUUUCUUGGCGCGGAUAAAGGCUGGGGGUGGGGAGAUGAUGAGCCCGUGCGAUUGCUUCCUCCAUGCCACCGCGCCGCCGCUGAAUCCGCCGUCGAGUCUCGCGGCUGCGGCGCCGGGAGCUCGCUGGAGGGAUAGCAACCUCUCGUUCCAGAGCAGCGCAGUGUCUGCGCCGGCGAGAAACGUCGAGACUUCCCCCAAUUUGGUGGUUCCAUGUACGGUUCAUACGCAGGCUGCUGAAAGGAAGAAGAGUGGGAGGUGGGUGAAGUAUGGCGGGUCGAUUCCGGCGAUGCUGGAGGCGCUUGAGCGUAAUGAGGAUAUCGGGGAGGCGCUCCGGCCAUGGAGGGACACGAUGAGCAACCGGGAGAGGACAAUCAUUCUCAAGGAGCAGAAGGAUUGGAGGAGAGCGGUUGAAAUUUUCAACUGGUUUCGCAGGAGGAGGCGCCAUGAGGUCAAUGUGAUACACUACAAUGUUGUUCUCUGCGCGGUUGGGAGGGCGAGGAGAUGGGACCUUGUUGCUAGGCUAUGGCAUGAGAUGCAUUCCGGUGGUGUUGCGCCGGAUAAUUCGACGUAUGGCACGCUUAUUGAUGUGCACUGCAAAGGGGGCAGAGAGAGGAUGGCAUUGCUUUGGCUUGGCGACAUGAUCAAGCGUGGGUUGCUGCCUGAUGAGAUUACUAUGAGUAUUGUGCUUCAGGUACACAAGAAGGCUGGGGAGUAUGAGAAAGCCGAGCUUUUCUUCAAGAGAUGGUCCUUGGAGUCAGAUGUAAAGAUGAAAGGGCAUCCUUGCUAUAGUUUGUAUACUUACAACACCUUGAUCGAUACUUAUGGAAAGGCUGGGCAACUUGAGAAAGUAUCAGAUACAUUCAAUCAGAUGUUAAGAGAAGGUGUUUCACCAAAUGUUGUUACAUUUAACACAAUGAUUCAUGUUUGGGGUAAACACCGUAGAAUGGAGCAAGUAGCUUCUCUGAUGAGAACGAUGGAGGAGUUUCAGUGCCUUCCGGACACUAGGACGUAUAAUAUUCUGAUCUCGCUAUACAGAGAAAUCAAUGAUAUUGAUGUUGCGGAGUACUAUUUCAGGAAGAUGAAAGCUGAAAAUCUGCUUCCAGAUGUUGUGAGCUGCCGCACUCUCUUGUAUGGAUACUCUAUCAAGGGCAUGGUCACUGAAGCACAAGCUCUUCUUAAAGAAAUGUAUGAGAGGAACAUGGUGAUUGAUGAAUACACACAAUCAGCUGUGACGAGGAUGUAUGUCGAUGCUGGGAUGCUUGAGCAAGCGUGGUGUUGGUUUGAGAAGUUCAAUUAUCAGUUAAACUCUGAGUGCUUUUCUGCAAAUAUUGAUGCAUUUGGGGAGAGAGGGCAUAUACUCCUUGCAGAGAAGGCUUUUAUGUGCUGCAUAAAAAGGAAGAUGCUAAGCACUUGUGUUUGUAAUGUUAUGAUCAAAGCAUAUGGUUUAGUAGAGAAGCUUGACGAGGCUUGUGAGAUUGCUGAUGGCAUGGAGAGGUAUGGCAUUUUGCCUGAUUACUUGACUUACAGUUCUCUGAUUCAUCUAAUGUCAACCGCUAAAUUGCCAGAGAAAGCUCUUUACUAUUUGAGAAAGAUGCAGGCAGCAAAAUUGCUGAUUGAUUGUGUUCCUUAUUCUGUGGUAAUCAGUUGCUUUGCUAAGAAUGGCAAUUUACACAUGGUCGACUGCCUGUUUAGAGAAAUGAUCACUUCAGGGAUCCAAGCUGAUACUUAUGUUUACUCUAUCUUAAUUGAUGCAUAUGCUGAAGUUGGAGAUGUCCAGAAAGCUGAAGCAUAUUUUGGUUUGUUGAAAAAGGCUGGUUUAUGUGAGAGUGCUACAAUAUAUAAUUCUUUGAUAAAGCUCUACACAAAGGUAGUGUAUCUUGCAGAGGCACAGAAAACGUACAAGCUUCUCAAAUCAUUAAAUGCAGACACCAACCUUUAUGCGUCAAACUGCAUGAUUGACCUCUAUAGUGACCAUUGUAUGGUGAAGGAAGCACGUGAGAUUUUUGAGAAUUUGAAGGUUACAGGAAAGGCAAAUGAAUUUUCACAUGCAAUGAUGGUGUGCUUGUACAAGAAAAUUGCUCGCUUUGAUGAAGCCCACAGGAUUUCUAAGAAAAUGCAAGCUUCAGGAUUUCUAACUCAGGCAUUAAGCUACAACUCUGUGAUACAAAUGUAUGUGUCUGGUGGAAGAAUGGAAGAUGCCCUUAAAAUAUUUCAGAAGAUGUUGGCAUCGAACACACCACCAAAUGAUGCAACAUUCAAGGCACUAAAGAUUAUUUUAGUGAAACGAGGAGUUUCAAAUAAUGAUAUUAGAAGGUUAGAAUUGCUCAGAAAAAAUAGAAUUCAUGAUUGCUUGCGCCACUGGUACAGGAUGCUAUGCAUGGCGGUAAGAUCAGGUGGUAGUUCUUCUCGACGUAUUAGUGAUAAUUCAGCUCUGAGGACGCAUAUUUUUGACAUUGGCAAUUCCAAGAGUGGCAAAAGAAAUACAAGAAAGCAUGUAACUUCAUAAAUAUUUCGAGUCUAACUGGUUUAACAUCUUCGAUGUUGACACAACACGGUGAUGAUCCAUCUACUAAACAGUUGAUGGAAAGCACCGUGUUAUCUUCAAAAGAAAACCCCAUGACCACUGUUUGACUGGUGCUCUAAGAAUGUGGUGAAAUUUCCAAUGGAUCAGGCUAGAUUACCGCAGGGAUGCAGGAUUAUACUCCGGGCUAGGAGAUGCUGCUGACAUAUGGUGUGCUCAAAGAUGAGAUGGGUGUGAUACCUGUGAUCAAUGGAUGAUACGCAUCAUUGCUGGUCUGGUUCACCUCAGCUGGCUACUGAAAGCUCUGCAGCUAGCUCUGCCAUCUCCCACGUCAAGCUGAGGCUGCGUUCUUUUCAGGCUAGUCGUCAUCGUUUUCCGUUAGCACGCUUUUCAAACUACUAAACGGUGCAUUUUUCUGUAAAAAGUUUCUAUACGAAAGUUACUUAAAAAAAUCAUAUUAGUCCAUUUUUUUUAAAAAGAAUAGCAGAUACUUAAUUAAUCAUGUGCUAAUGGAUCGCUCCGUUUUCCGUAAUCACUGUUGACAAGAAGAAAGAACGCAGCCUGAGCCCGUUUGCUUCUCCUCACCGCCACCCCAGCUCACCGUCUCGCUCACCUCAAAUCACCCCGUCCCCUCCCGCCGCUGCCGCUGCCGCUGCCUGACGACAAGACCUCUCCUCUCCGCUCCGCGGCGGCCGCCGAUGAAUCGGAAUUUACCCUUCUGCCCCGGAUACUCCAUGGCGACGACGAGGGGCACAUCGGUAAAAAGCGCGGGGGAGGUCGCCUCGCCGGCGAGACGGCGGUUGAAUUUACCCAUCUACCCCGCCCCAUCCCGGCCCGUCGCUAUCCUCUCCGUGGGGAGGGGUAGAAGGGUAAAAGCACCCGCGCCGCGUUCGCGCGGGAAAUCCGGGAGGGGGAUUUGUACUACUGUGCUCGUUUUUAUUAAUACCGUCGCUUCGCUUCUGCUGCUGGGGUUUCGUGUUCAUCUCGCCUUGCCCUUGGCUCGCGUCGGGGCGGAUGCGGAGGCGGCGUCGCUGUCCCCGAUCGAAUGCUGCCGCUGCUGCGCCCCCUCACUUUCGAGAUCUGAGCGCGUGACGCCCGCCUCUCCGGCUCCGAGGAGAAAUCAAUGGAGAACGGAACCAAGGCUGUCGAUGUUGGGCAAAGGCAACUCAAGAUCAUGGAAGAAUGUCUUGCUGCAACGAUCCCAGAUUCCCAAUCUUUUGUACAUUCUGCUCUCCUCUCGGGCUUGGCCAGCAUAACAUGAAGUCCAAGCCCCAAAGAAACAGCCCCUUGUAAGAGGGGUUCUUCGUCUGCACGUGCCCAACAACAACUCCUGCAACCGUUUUCUCCACUGACACCGAUGAACUCAUCCGGGUGACCUGCUUCUCCAUUAACCUAUGGAUGAAGCUCCGUUGAAAAUCCAAGUAGAAGUACUGCAUAGCCGUCUACUAAUCUCUUCUUACACACUGCUUAUAUUUUGAUGUGUUUCCUUCCAUGGUUCGUUACUGUAUCGAGUUCAUGUAUUAGUACUUGGUUAUGCUGCCAGCUUUUGAUGCCUUCUGUACGGUCUCGGUGCCAAUAUUGGUUGGAUCGAAUGCUUGGUGCGAUCUUACUACCACUGUUAGAUUCCACAAGGCUGUUCAUACAAUUGGAUUUUGUCUGCAGUUCUAGUAAUUGUCAGACAAAAUUAUGUGUGUCGAACUACAGAUGUGAGGUGUCUUUGUAUAUAUCCUUUUUGACCUUUCUA